GGUUAAGUUAUUAAGGGCGUAUGGUGGAUGCCUUGGCACUAGGAGCCGAUGAAGGACGUGACUAACUGCGAUAUGCUUCGGGGAGUUGUAAGUAAACUAUGAUCCGGAGAUUUCCGAAUGGGGAAACCUAACAGGUUUUACCGCCUGUUAUCACUAAGUGAAUUCAUAGCUUAGUUGAAGGUAGACGUGGGGAACUGAAACAUCUAAGUACCCACAGGAAGAGAAAGAAAUUCGAUUCCCUCAGUAGCGGCGAGCGAACCGGGAAGAGCCCAAACUAAGAAGCUUGCUUCUUAGGGUUGUAGGACUGAACAUUUGAGUUACCAAGAAAUGAAGUAGUUGAAUAAUCUGGGAAGAUUAGCCAAAGAGAGUGAUAGCCUCGUAAGCGAAACUUCGUUUCCUCAGUUCAGGAUCCUGAGUACGGCGGAACACGUGAAACUCCGUCGGAAUCCGGGAGGACCAUCUCCCAAGGCUAAAUACUACCUAGUGACCGAUAGUGAACCAGUACCGUGAGGGAAAGGUGAAAAGCACCCCGGGAGGGGAGUGAAAUAGUUCCUGAAACCAUAUGCCUACAAGUAGUCAGAGCUCGUUAAUGAGUGAUGGCGUGCCUUUUGUAGAAUGAACCGGCGAGUUACGUUAGCGUGCGAGGUUAAGGAGGAAAGUCCGGAGCCGUAGCGAAAGCGAGUCUGAAUAGGGCGAGAUAGUACGUUGACGUAGACCCGAAACCAGGUGACCUACCCAUGUCCAGGUUGAAGGUGCGGUAAAACGCACUGGAGGACCGAACCCGUGUAUGUUGAAAAAUGCUGGGAUGAGGUGUGGGUAGAGGUGAAAUUCCAAACGAACUUGGAGAUAGCUGGUUCUCUCCGAAAUAGCUUUAGGGCUAGCCUCGGAGUUGAGAAUCGUGGAGGUAGAGCACUGUUUGGACUAGGGGCCCGUCUUGGGUUACUGAAUUCAGAUAAACUCCGAAUGCCACAGAUUUAUAUCCGGGAGUCAGACUGCGAGUGAUAAGAUCCGUAGUCGAAAGGGAAACAGCCCAGACCACCGAUUAAGGUCCCAAAAUAUGUGUUAAGUGGAAAAGGAUGUGGAAUUGCAUAGACAACUAGGAUGUUGGCUUAGAAGCAGCCACCAUUUAAAGAGUGCGUAAUAGCUCACUAGUCGAGUGAUCCUGCGCCGAAAAUGUAACGGGGCUAAACACAUUACCGAAAUCGUGGAUGUACCGUAAGGUACAUGGUAGGAGAGCGUUCUAAGGACGGCGAAGCUAGACCGUAAGGACUGGUGGAGUGCUUAGAAGUGAGAAUGCCGGUAUGAGUAGCGAAAGAUCAGUGAGAAUCUGGUCCACCGUAUGACUAAGGUUUCCUGGGGAAGGCUCGUCCUCCCAGGGUUAGUCGGGACCUAAGCCGAGGCCGAGAGGCGUAGGCGAUGGAUAACAGGUUGAGAUUCCUGUACUGGUUAAACUUGUUUGAACAAUGGAGGGACGCAGGAGGCUAUCGAUGCGUACUGUUGGAUAUGUACGUUCAAGCAA
rnacentral:rRNA from 1 species